AUUGAACGCUGGCGGCAGGCCUAACACAUGCAAGUCGAGCGGCUGAAGAGAGCUUGCUCUCUGAUUUAGCGGCGGACGGGUGAGUAAUGCCUAGGAAUCUGCCUGGUAGUGGGGGAUAACGUUCCGAAAGGAACGCUAAUACCGCAUACGUCCUACGGGAGAAAGCAGGGGACCUUCGGGCCUUGCGCUAUCAGAUGAGCCUAGGUCGGAUUAGCUAGUUGGUGAGGUAAAGGCUCACCAAGGCGACGAUCCGUAACUGGUCUGAGAGGAUGAUCAGUCACACUGGAACUGAGACACGGUCCAGACGCCUACGGGAGGCAGCAGUGGGGAAUAUUGGACAAUGGGCGAAAGCCUGAUCCAGCCAUGCCGCGUGUGUGAAGAAGGUCUUCGGAUUGUAAAGCACUUUAAGUUGGGAGGAAGGGCAGUAAGUUAAUACCUUGCUGUUUUGACGUUACCGACAGAAUAAGCACCGGCUAACUUCGUGCCAGCCGCCGCGGUAACAC
rnacentral:rRNA from 1 species